rnacentral:rRNA from 1 species
AUUGAACGCUGGCGGCAUGCUUUACACAUGCAAGUCGAACGGCAGCGCGGGCUUCGGCCUUGCGGCGAGUGGCGAACGGGUGAGUAAUGCAUCGGAACGUGCCCAGUAGUGGGGGAUAGCCCGGCGAAAGCCGGAUUAAUACCGCAUACGACCUGAGGGUGAAAGCGGGGGACCGAAAGGCCUCGCGCUAUUGGAGGGGCCGAGGUCGGAUUAGCUAGUUGGUGGGGUAAAGGCUUACCAAGGCGACGAUCCGUAGCUGGUCUGAGAGGACGACCAGCCACACUGGGACUGAGACACGGCCCAGACUCCUACGGGAGGCAGCAGUGGGGAAUUUUGGACAAUGGGGGCAACCCUGAUCCAGCCAUGCCGCGUGCGGGAAGAAGGCCUUCGGGUUGUAAACCGCUUUUGUUCGGGAAGAAAUCCUCUGGGCUAAUACCCCGGGGGGAUGACGGUACCGGAAGAAUAAGCACCGGCUAACUACGUG